ensembl:snRNA U6 U6 spliceosomal RNA
GUGCUCACUUUGGCAGCACAUAUACUAAAUUUGGAAUGAUACGGAGAUUAGCAUGGCCCUUGCAGAAGGAUGACAUGAUGACAUGCAAAUUCAUCCUAUUUUAA